UACGUAGGGGGCAAGCGUUGUCCGGAAUCAUUGGGCGUAAAGAGCUCGUAGGCGGCCUGUUGCGUCCGCUGUGAAAUCCCAGGGCUCAACCCUGGGCGUGCAGUGGAUACGGGCAGGCUGGAGGCAGGCAGGGGAGAACGGAAUUCCCGGUGUAGCGGUGAAAUGCGCAGAUAUCAGGAAGAACACCCGUGGCGAAGGCGGCUCUCUGGGACGGUACUGACGCUGAGACGCGAAAGCGUGGGGAGCGAACAGG
rnacentral:rRNA from 1 species